rnacentral:rRNA from 1 species
GAUGAACGCUGGCGGCGUGCUUAACACAUGCAAGUCGAACGAAGCAUUUAGAACAGAUUAUUUCGGUAUGAAGUUCUUUAUGACUGAGUGGCGGACGGGUGAGUAACGCGUGGGUAACCUGCCUUGUACUGGGGGAUAGCAGCUGGAAACGGCUGGUAAUACCGCAUAAGCGCACGGUGCUGCAUGGCACAGUGUGAAAAACUCCGGUGGUAUAAGAUGGACCCGCGUCUGAUUAGCUAGUUGGUGAGAUAACAGCCCACCAAGGCGACGAUCAGUAGCCGACCUGAGAGGGUGACCGGCCACAUUGGGACUGAGACACGGCCCAGACUCCUACGGGGAGGCAGCAGUGGGGAAUAUUGCACAAUGGAGGAAACUCUGAUGCAGCGACGCCGCGUGAGUGAAGAAGUAAUUCGUUAUGUAAAGCUCUAUCAGCAGGGAAGAUAGUGACGGUACCUGACUAAGAAGCU